rnacentral:rRNA from 1 species
GGCUCAGGAUGAACGCUGGCGGCGUGCCUAAUACAUGCAAGUCGAGCGAACGGACGAGAAGCUUGCUUCUCUGAUGUUAGCGGCGGACGGGUGAGUAACACGUGGAUAACCUACCUAUAAGACUGGGAUAACUUCGGGAAACCGGAGCUAAUACCGGAUAAUAUUUUGAACCGCAUGGUUCAAAAGUGAAAGACGGUCUUGCUGUCACUUAUAGAUGGAUCCGCGCUGCAUUAGCUAGUUGGUAAGGUAACGGCUUACCAAGGCAACGAUGCAUAGCCGACCUGAGAGGGUGAUCGGCCACACUGGAACUGAGACACGGUCCAGACUCCUACGGGAGGCAGCAGUAGGGAAUCUUCCGCAAUGGGCGAAAGCCUGACGGAGCAACGCCGCGUGAGUGAUGAAGGUCUUCGGAUCGUAAAACUCUGUUAUUAGGGAAGAACAUAUGUGUAAGUAACUGUGCACAUCUUGACGGUACCUAAUCAGAAAGCCACGGCUAACUACGUGCCAGCAGCCGCGGUAAUACGUAGGUGGCAAGCGUUAUCCGGAAUUAUUGGGCGUAAAGCGCGCGUAGGCGGUUUUUUAAGUCUGAUGUGAAAGCCCACGGCUCAACCGUGGAGGGUCAUUGGAAACUGGAAAACUUGAGUGCAGAAGAGGAAAGUGGAAUUCCAUGUGUAGCGGUGAAAUGCGCAGAGAUAUGGAGGAACACCAGUGGCGAAGGCGACUUUCUGGUCUGUAACUGACGCUGAUGUGCGAAAGCGUGGGGAUCAAACAGGAUUAGAUACCCUGGUAGUCCACGCCGUAAACGAUGAGUGCUAAGUGUUAGGGGGUUUCCGCCCCUUAGUGCUGCAGCUAACGCAUUAAGCACUCCGCCUGGGGAGUACGACCGCAAGGUUGAAACUCAAAGGAAUUGACGGGGACCCGCACAAGCGGUGGAGCAUGUGGUUUAAUUCGAAGCAACGCGAAGAACCUUACCAAAUCUUGACAUCCUUUGACAACUCUAGAGAUAGAGCCUUCCCCUUCGGGGGACAAAGUGACAGGUGGUGCAUGGUUGUCGUCAGCUCGUGUCGUGAGAUGUUGGGUUAAGUCCCGCAACGAGCGCAACCCUUAAGCUUAGUUGCCAUCAUUAAGUUGGGCACUCUAAGUUGACUGCCGGUGACAAACCGGAGGAAGGUGGGGAUGACGUCAAAUCAUCAUGCCCCUUAUGAUUUGGGCUACACACGUGCUACAAUGGACAAUACAAAGGGCAGCGAAACCGCGAGGUCAAGCAAAUCCCAUAAAGUUGUUCUCAGUUCGGAUUGUAGUCUGCAACUCGACUACAUGAAGCUGGAAUCGCUAGUAAUCGUAGAUCAGCAUGCUACGGUGAAUACGUUCCCGGGUCUUGUACACACCGCCCGUCACACCACGAGAGUUUGUAACACCCGAAGCCGGUGGAGUAACCUUUUAGGAGCUAGCCGUCGAAGGUGGGACAAAUGAUUGGGGUGAAGUCGUAACAAGGUAGCCGUAUCGGAAGGUGCGGCUGGAUCACCUCCUUU